GAACCUUCAAGCUUAGCUUGGUGUUGGGCGUCCUUGUCCCUGCCUUGGUGCAGGGACUCGCCUCAAAAACAUCGGCGGUGGUAAAGUCAGCCCAGAGCGCAGCAGAGUUCGUGCUAAAGGAUAUCUGACUAGACGCCUGCCACAACCUUAUAUCUUCAA
rnacentral:misc_RNA from 1 species